rnacentral:tRNA from 2 species
GAUGAAGUCAGCUAAAUAAGCUUUCGGGCCCAUACCCCGAACAUGACGGUUAAACUCCCUCCUCCAUCA